GUUAAAUUUUAGACGGUUUUCGUGUAAAACGAAAGUGGCCGCAUUCGUGUUCAUCCUUAAUAUUGAAAUUUAAGUUGUAUUUUAUAAUAAUACAUAACAUGUAUAAAGGUUGAGGAUGAACACGGAUGCGGCCACUUUCAUUUUUACCAAAAACCAUCUGAAAAGUGACAUUUUUCGGCCAUUUAGGUAGAUUUUUCAUAUUUGAGCUUGAAUCGGAUCGUUUUUUAUGACUAAAUCUGUUAAAACCUUUCACAU
rnacentral:lncRNA from 1 species